CUCAGUCAUCUCUCUGUAAGCUUUCACGAUCAUUUUCUUUUGCUUUUUUCUCUGUUUCAAGAUCUGCAAAGGUUCUAUAUCAGUUUAGUUCUUUCUUUUCUUUUUGGUGUAUUUAAUGGAUAGCAAUUACGCAGCUAUUCCCAAGAGCUCAUAUGUAGAAUUACAAUUGCAUCAUGAUCCUGAGAUCCCAAUAAAUCCACGAAAAGCCCACCUCAAAUCGCUUCCUUUUAAUGAUGGGGAGAACUUUAGAGAUCCCAAUAAAUCCACGAAAAGCC
rnacentral:misc_RNA from 1 species